GGCAACGUGGCGGAGUGGUUAUCGCGUAUGCCUCGAAAGCAUAUUCCUUCGGGAGCGCAGGUUCGAAUCCUGCCGUUGUCG
rnacentral:tRNA from 2 species